rnacentral:rRNA from 1 species
UAGGGAAUAUUAGUAAUGGGCGAAAGCCUGAACUAGCAACGCCGCGUGUGCGAAGAAGGCCUUCGGGUUGUAAAGCACUUUUUGAGAGGAUGAGGAAGGACGGUACUCUCAGAAUAAGUCUCGGCUAACUACGUGCCAGCAGCCGCGGUAACACGUAGGAGGCAAACGUAAUCGGAAUUUCUUGGCGGUAAAGCGCGUGUAGGUGGUUUGGUAAGUAGGGCGUGAAAGCUCCUGGCUCAACUGGGAGAGGCCGUUCUAAACUGCCGAACUAGAGGAUGGUAGAGGGAGGUGGAAUUCCGGGUGUAGCGGUGGAAUGCGCAGAUAUCCGGAGGAACACCAGUGGCGAAAGCGGCCUCCUGGACCAUUCCUGACACUCAGACGCGAAAGCUAGGGUAGCAAACGG